UACGGAGGGUGCAAGCGUUAAUCGGAAUUACUGGGCGUAAAGCGUGCGCAGGCGGUUUGUUAAGUCCGCUGUGAAAUCCCCGAGCUCAACUUGGGAAUUGCAGUGGAUACUGGCAAGCUGGAGUAUGGUAGAGGAAGGUGGAAUUCCCGGUGUAGCAGUGAAAUGCGUAGAGAUGUGGAGGAAUACCGAUGGCGAAGGCAGCCCCCUGGGAUAACACUGACGCUCAUGCACGAAAAGCGUGGGGGAGCAAAACAGG
rnacentral:rRNA from 1 species